AGCAGCCGCGGUAAUUCCAGCUCCAAUAGCGUAUAUUAAAGUUGUUGCAGUUAAAAGCUCGUAGUUGAACUUCGGGGUUUACCCAUUGGUCAGGCUUAAUUGUCUGUACUGGUGAGAUAAAUCUCUACCUUCUGAGGAACUUUCAUGCCAUUUAUUUGGUGUGAUGGGAAAUCAGGACUGUUACUUUGAAAAAUUAGAGUGUUUAAAGCAGGCUAACGUCUGAAUACAUUAGCAUGGAAUAAUGAAAUAGGACGGACUGAUUCUAUUUCGUUGGUUUCUAGGAUCACCGUAAUGAUUAAUAGGGAUAGUUGGGGGCAUUAGUAUUCAAUUGUCAGAGGUGAAAUUCUUGGAUUUAUUGAAGACUAACUACUGCGAAAGCAUUUGCCAAGGAUGUUUUCAUUAAUCAAGAACGAAAGUUAGGGGAUCGAAGACGAUCAGAUACCGUCGUAG
rnacentral:rRNA from 1 species